GAACACUAGAUGUCUCAUCCGCGCUGAGUCCAACGUCCGCCACUGGCGGCCAUCUUGCUACGGGCAAGCUUUCUAGUAGAAUCUGUGUUAACUGAGGUUUUCUCUUCGAAAAACGACUUAACCGUUGCUGACUUGAGAAUUGAAGAUGCCAGACUCUUGUGCAGCUUACGGAUGCGCUAAUCGGCGUUGUCUCGAAAUGAGAAGCAGUGGGAUCACCUUUCACUAGUUUCCCAAAACCGGAGAGAGGAGGCGUAUGUGGGAACUUGCCCUAAGAAGGGACGGUUUUGCCGCCUCUGACAGGACCGUGCUCUGCAGUGACCACUUCAGGAGUGAGGACUUCGACAGGACGGGGCAGACUGUCCGGCUUAAAGAUGGUGUUGUGCCAACCAUUUUCAGCUUUCCAGCUCAUCUUCAAAGGUCGGUAGCAACAAGAAGCACAACCACUUCUAGAAGAGCGGAAGAUAACCUGCCAAUGGACUUGAUGUCUGAUGUUGGAGCCACUGGAGAGAGGAGAUU